AACUGGGAUUAGAUACCCCACUAUGCCUAGCCGUAAACUUUAACUUACACUUCAAUCGCCAGGGGACUACAAGCAAAGCUUUAAACCCAAAGGACUUGACGGUACCCCAAAUCCACCUAGAGGAGCCUGUCCUAUAAUCGAUAACCCCCGCUUAACCUCACCUCUUCUUGCCUUUCAGCCUGUAUACCUCCGUCGUCAGCUUACCGUGUGAGCGCCACUAAGUGAGCUUAACGCCCAUACACCAAUACGUCAGGUCAAGGUGCAGCUUAUGAAGAGGGAAGCGAUGGGCUACACUCUCUAAAGUAGAAAAAACAAAAGACUUCAUGAAACCUAGUCGGAAGGAGGAUUUAGUAGUAAAAAGAA
rnacentral:rRNA from 1 species